UAGUAAUUUAUAUAUAUAUAUAUCCAUUAAAAUGGACUGGCUUUUACAUUUCCAUUUAAACAUUCAGAUUCAUGGCGUGCAUAUCCAUACCAUUACGCGUGGUUGCCUUUUAGUGAAGAAACCAAACAACUUGUCCUUCCUUCGUUAUCCGAUAUGAAUUUUGUAGAGGAACUGUGCAAUGUAUUAGUUUAAGCAAGACAAAGGAUUCGAUAGAAAAUUGUAUUAACGUCAAAUGUCUGUGAUGCGGGGAAAAAUUUUAAAUUUAACUCAAGCCUCAAGGACGGUAAAUCUCCCGUUCAACUAGUCCAAAUGCCAGCAGUGGUCAUUGAAAAAAGUGAACCGAAAAGCAGAUUAACCUCGUUUACCCAGCGCUUCCAAUAAAAAAGCCCAUUUUUUUCAUGGUGCUAACGAGAAGGCCAAGUCAAGUAAUGAUACGUUUAAAUUUUUUGUUUUGUAAAUAU